rnacentral:rRNA from 1 species
CAGUCGCCGCGGUAACACAGAGGGUGCGAGCGUUAAUCGGAUUUACUGGGCGUAAAGCGUGCGUAGGCGGCUAAUUGAGUCGGAUGUGAAAUCCCCGAGCUUAACUUGGGAAUUGCAUUCGAUACUGGUUAGCUAGAGUGUGGGAGAGGAUGGUAGAAUUCCAGGUGUAGCGGUGAAAUGCGUAGAGAUCUGGAGGAAUACCGAUGGCGAAGGCAGCCAUCUGGCCUAACACUGACGCUGAGGUACGAAAGCAUGGGGAGCAAACAGGAUUAGAUACCCGUGUAGUCCCUGUCUCUUAUAC